rnacentral:lncRNA from 1 species
CAGGGCCCAAACAAAGCAAGGAUCAGUGAGAAAGCCACAGUUUAAAAGCAAUUCUAAAUGAAAAGGAGGGACAACUCUCAAUUCUAGCUCUAGGUGACCUUCCAAAGCCUCUCUCCUCACUGAUCUCACGCUAUGCUGGCACAGCGGGAGCUGAGCUCACCUCUCCACACAACUUCUGAUCCAGAAUCCUUCGUCACCGUGCAUAAGCUCCAAGUGGGAUGAAAGAUAGACCAAUAGAGAAAUGAGGGCACUGUACUGGUACAAGAAAUGUCUCUGGAGUCAUAAAUACAGUUAAGGAAACAGCUUCCACUCUGAAU